AGGCUGCAACUCGCCUGCAUGAAGUUGGAAUUGCUAGUAAUCGCGGAUCAGCAUGCCGCGGUGAAUACGUUCCCGGGCCUUGUACACACCGCCCGUCACACCAUGGGAGCCGGUAAUACCCGAAGUCAGUAGCCUAACCGCAAGGGGGGCGCCUGCCGAAGGUAGGAUUGGCGACUGGGGUGAAGUCGUAACAAGGUAGC
rnacentral:rRNA from 1 species